GUUUUAAUAAUUUAAUAUAAAAUAUUAGUCUUGUAAACUAAAUUUAGAUUUCUAUCUUUAAAACA